rnacentral:rRNA from 1 species
AGAGUUUGAUCCUGGCUCAGAACGAACGCUGGCGGCAUGCCUAACACAUGCAAGUCGAACGAGACCUUCGGGUCUAGUGGCGCACGGGUGCGUAACGCGUGGGAAUCUGCCCUUCGGUUCGGAACAACAGUUAGAAAUGACUGCUAAUACCGGAUAAUGACGUAAGUCCAAAGAUUUAUCGCCGAAGGAUGAGCCCGCGUAAGAUUAGGUAGUUGGUGGGGUAAUGGCCUACCAAGCCGACGAUCUUUAGCUGGUCUGAGAGGAUGAUCAGCCACACUGGGACUGAGACACGGCCCAGACUCCUACGGGAGGCAGCAGUGGGGAAUAUUGGACAAUGGGCGAAAGCCUGAUCCAGCAAUGCCGCGUGAGUGAUGAAGGCCUUAGGGUUGUAAAGCUCUUUUACCAGGGAUGAUAAUGACAGUACCUGGAGAAUAAGCUCCGGCUAACUCCGUG